AACCUGGUUGGGUGGUCUGCCUUCACGGUACGUACUGCUUGGCCGGGUUCUACCUCUUGGUGAGCCGGCAUGCCCUUCACUGGGUGUGUCGGGGAACCAGGACUUUUACCUUGAGAAAAUUAGAGUGUUCAAAGCGGGCGCGAAAAAUCUCGCCGUUGAAUACGUCAGCAUGGGAUAAUG
rnacentral:rRNA from 1 species